rnacentral:rRNA from 1 species
AUUGAACGCUGGCGGCAUGCCUUACACAUGCAAGUCGAACGGCAGCACGGGGCAACCCUGGUGGCGAGUGGCGAACGGGUGAGUAACAUAUCGGAACAUACCCUAGAGUGGGGGAUAACGUAGCGAAAGUUACGCUAAUACCGCAUACGAUCUAAGGAUGAAAGUAGGGGGAGUCUUUCGGACCUCAUGCUCAUGGAGUGGCCGAUAUCUGAUUAGCUAGUUGGUGAGGUAAAGGCUCACCAAGGCGACGAUCAGUAGCUGGUUUGAGAGAACGACCAGCCACACUGGAACUGAGACACGGUCCAGACUCCUACGGGAGGCAGCAGUGGGGAAUUUUGGACAAUGGGAGCAACCCUGAUCCAGCAAUG